rnacentral:lncRNA from 1 species
AUGAACCCUCGAGUAAACACCUCAAGUGGCUGAUAGCACAUGUCCUUAAUUAUUUAGAUCGAUCGGACAAAUAAAGUGGCAAGAACUACACAAUAAGUUUGAUUUACUUCGUUUUACUCCACUCGAAUCCUAAUUAGGAUAGAAAGAAAUAACGAGGGAAAAAAAGGAACACCGAAAGAUAUUUGGAAAUUGUGAAGAAUGACAAGAACUUGAUAAAGUACAUGAAGGCAUAGUGAACGAAAACUAUUCGAUACCUCCUAAUUACUUCACCAAAUUUAUUUGCAUUGGACAACAACUAACGCCAAAACCACAAAUGUAAACCCAUUAUUUCUAGAAUCACUGCCUAGAAAAAGGAAAAUGAUAGAAGGGAAAGUAUAUGGGCAAUAUAUAUGCACGCCUCAUCAAGAUCCAUGCAUUAAACCCACACUCACUCAGAUAUAGUAAAAAUUUUCAAAAACAAAAAUAAAGAAGCAAUUAUAACAGCAAAUGAAAGAACAGGUUGUCGGACCAGGAGUGCUUAAUUCCCCUUUGCAUGAACGACUAUCGUCAUUCUGAUUUCUUCUGUCGCUCAAAGUUUUAACUUGGACAUAAAACCUUUGGAUCUCUCACCUCACAUGGGGAUCUUCCAAAAUCAUCCAAAUAGCCAAGCAGUAUUUUCUGUUGAUUGUCAGCUCGUUCAGCUGACCUCAAACCAUUUCUGUCACCUGGCACAAUAUGUUUAUUCUCGGCAGCAUUUUCAGUCCAUAUACCAAAAAAUUUAGCCCUAAUCUCCGGCCCAUCUUGGAAACAAAUGGUAAAGUUGUUACUUUGAACAGCCAUGGUGAUGGAUAAGGACAAAUUCCCACAAUUAGGGUUCCCUUUAAGCGAAAGAGUAGUAUAUAUAAGACAAUAAGAAAGAAGAUAUAUAUAUAUAUUUAUAAAUAGGGCCGUAGUAGCUAGUGCCUUUCUACGGAGGUAAAGUAUGCGUACACACUACCCUUUUUAAAUUUCAAUUGUGGGACUACGGUAGGUUCUUUGUUGUUGUAGGGCAGUUGUAGCUAAGGUUGGGUAAAACUUAUAGAAGACGCAUAUAUAGUACUUGUGUUAGGUUAUAUAUCCUAAUCUUGAGGAAGGGUUUCAAAAAUACGCAUGCAAGGUUUGUUUCAGUGGGGAAGGGCACGUUUACAAAGGAGACAAAUGAAAAGGGAAGGAGGGGAAAAGAAUGGAAAGUGGGGGGCUUUUCU